GACGAACGCUGGCGGCGUGCCUAAUACAUGCAAGUAGAACGCUGAAGAGAGGAGCUUGCUCUUCUUGGAUGAGUUGCGAACGGGUGAGUAACGCGUAGGUAACCUGCCUGGUAGCGGGGGAUAACUAUUGGAAACGAUAGCUAAUACCGCAUAAAAUUGAUUAUUGCAUGAUAAUUAAUUGAAAGAUGCAACUGCAUCACUACCAGAUGGACCUGCGUUGUAUUAGCUAGUUGGUGAGGUAACGGCUCACCAAGGCGACGAUACAUAGCCGACCUGAGAGGGUGAUCGGCCACACUGGGACUGAGACACGGCCCAGACUCCUACGGGAGGCAGCAGUAGGGAAUCUUCGGCAAUGGGGGGAACCCUGACCGAGCAACGCCGCGUGGGUGAAGAAGGUUUUCGGAUCGUAAAGCUCUGUUGUAAGAGAAGAACGGGUGUGAGAGUGGAAAGUUCACACUGUGACGGUAUCUUACCAGAAAGGGACGGCUAACUACGU
rnacentral:rRNA from 1 species